AAGAGCAAUGCUAGGGGCCAGCAACUUUUGUGAUUGGUAGCCAUCAAAUAGCCAUCAAUGAUGAUCUAAUGAUGUGAGAUUGAUGUGAGUUUUCAUCUAAUGACUCACCUUUCUCUGCUGGCUACAUGCUGGCCAAAAUUCAACAAAACUGCUGCCCCCUAGACUUUUCCAAUAAAUAAUAAUAUACAAGAAACAAUAAAAAAUCAAAUAACCAACAUACAGAAAAGAUU